GCCAGACUCCUACGGGAGGCAGCAGUGGGGAAUAUUGCACAAUGGGGGAAACCCUGAUGCAGCGACGCCGCGUGAGUGAAGAAGUAUUUCGGUAUGUAAAGCUCUAUCAGCAGGGAAGAAGAAGGACGGUACCUGACUAAGAAGCCCCGGCUAACUACGUGCCAGCAGCCGCGGUAAUACGUAGGGGGCGAGCGUUAUCCGGAUUUACUGGGUGUAAAGGGAGCGUAGACGGUUAAUCAAGUCUGAAGUGAAAGCCCGCGGCUCAACUGCGGAACGGCUUUGGAAACUGAGUAACUGGAGUGCUGGAGGGGCAGGCGGAAUUCCUGGUGUAGCGGUGAAAUGCGUAGAUAUCAGGAGGAACACCGGUGGCGAAGGCGGCCUGCUGGACAGUAACUGACGUUGAGGCUCGAAAGCGUGGGGAGCAAACAGGAUUAGAUACCCCCGUACG
rnacentral:rRNA from 1 species